ACCUUAUUAGUUUAAUUAGAAUGUUGAUUUGUGAUAUCAAAGGUAUAUUUUGAAUAUAUUGGGCU
rnacentral:tRNA from 1 species